rnacentral:rRNA from 1 species
ACAAGCGGUGGAGCAUGUGGUUUAAUUCGAAGCAACGCGAAGAACCUUACCAGGUCUUGACAUACUCGUGCUAUCCUUAGAGAUAAGGAGUUCCUUCGGGACACGGGAUACAGGUGGUGCAUGGUUGUCGUCAGCUCGUGUCGUGAGAUGUUGGGUUAAGUCCCGCAACGAGCGCAACCCUUAUUACUAGUUGCCAUCAUUAAGUUGGGCACUCUAGUGAGACUGCCGGUGAUAAACCGGAGGGAGGUGGGGAUGACGUCAAAUCAUCAUGCCCCUUAUGACCUGGGCUA